CCUACGGGAGGCAGCAGUGAGGAAUCUUGGUCAAUGGGCGCGAGCCUGAACCAGCCAAGUCGCGUGAAGGAUGACUGCCCUACGGGUUGUAAACUUCUUUUAUCAAGGAAUAAAGUGAUGCACGUGUGCCUUUUUGUAUGUACUUUAUGAAUAAGGAUCGGCUAACUCCGUGCCGGCAGCCGCGGUAAUACGGAGGAUGCGAGCGUUAUCCGGAUUUAUUGGGUUUAAAGGGAGCGUAGAUGGGUUUUUAAGUCAGUUGUGAAAGUUUGCGGCUCAACCGGACAAUUGCAAUUGAUAAUGGCAGUCUUGAGUACAGAUGAGGUAGGCGGAACUCGUGGUGUAGCGGUGAAAUGCGUAGAUA
rnacentral:rRNA from 1 species